rnacentral:lncRNA from 1 species
ACCGCAUCAUCUUUUUUACAUUUUAGGCUGGAAAGUUGUCAUUGUUGGACUUAAACAACUUAAUAAUGACCUCUUGACUGCCAAGGUUGCUUGGAUACAUGUGAAUUUACAGUAGAUAGAAGGAAAAAUGCAAAGCUGGUUUUGGCAGAUGGCACCGUUCAUUUUAUGUUAAUUUCAUAAAGGCCUGAUACUGUCCUGUUAUGAAUGCGCUUAAAAAAAAAACCCAAUAUGUAGUGGUUGAUGAUCUUGGUCAUUAUAAGUUGGCCUCCAUAAUAGGAUCCGAGUGAUUUGUAGUCUCUUUAUUCUGGCCUAAUCCACUCCAUGUUUAAUUACAGAAAUACCACAAACCAUUCUAUUUAUGUUUGGGGCUGCAGGACUAAGUAUUGUAAAUUCUAUUGGUUUGGCAACCAAAUUGUUCCUGACAUCAGGUAAAAUGAAAACUGAAGCGUCAUUGUCUUAACAUUACAAUAUUUUAUAAAUGUAUGUUCCUGUAAUUUAGUCGCACAGUUAUAUGUUACUAUGUUAUGUUACUAUGAUAUGUUUCUACUUUCAGGAGGUGGCCAUCAAAAUGUACCUGAUCUUAGAUUCAUCACCCUUCCAUCCGAAUGUGUCUUUGUGUUUGGAUGGUUUACAUUGCAGAUACAUGAUUACUGGACACACAAACACAGGACAGAGAGCAACUCAGAGAGGCACAGAGACCUCGUAUUACAGGACACAGCUGACACUCAUGAGAUGCAUGUCAUGGCCAGACCAGAUUUACACACUUCAGACCCCUCUUUGAUGACAACUGUCUCAGAGCAGAAAAUAUACCACCUGUAAAUGUUGAGAGCAUGUAUGUUUGCAUACUCCAUUAAUCUGUAUCUUUGUCAAUAAAGAUAUUUGGGGAAAAAAAAAAAAUCUGUAU